rnacentral:rRNA from 1 species
AAAACAUAGCCAUUAGAUGAUAUUUAUGGUUAAACCUGCCCAAUGUUAGAGAUAAUGAAUGGCCGCGGUACCCUGACCGUGCUAAGGUAGCGUAAUCAGUUGGCUUUUAAAUGGAGUCGGGAAUGAAUGGAAAAACUGGGUUUAGCUGUCUCUUAACUAUUUAUUUGAAUUUACUGUUUAAGUGAAAAAGCUUAAUUACAACAAAAGGACGAGAAGACCCUUAGAAUUUUUUUUAGGGUGGUAGCUUACUAUAAUAAUUUUGUUGGGGCGACAUAGAAAUAUUUAAAACUUUCUUUGAAUUAUAAGCCGAAUUUUUUUAAGUAUGGAUAAAUUACCUAAGGGAUAACAGCAUAAUUCUAUAAUUGAGUUUGUGACCUCGAUGUUGGACUAGGAAACUAGCAGAUUAGCCAU